AAUGGGUUUGUUGACGUUUUUAGGCGGUGAUUCUCCCGCGAGUAGCAUUAUUUGCCUUGGUUACGUGAUUACUCCUCCUGUACUCAUGCUAGCUAGCAAUACUACUUCUAGUUGUAAUAUUGUUUUAUCCUAAAAUUGAUGCUCAAACGUUAAUUUGUAUUAACUUUGAGAACUUGACGAUACUUUCAAACCAAUUUGCCAAAGCUACCACGCGCGGGGAGUUGUGGGUAAGCAAGCAAAAUGGAACACCGAUUUAUGCACCCUGAAUUUAGUCUUGCAGGACUUACCGGCUAUUUCGCAAGUGUUCAUCUAAUUUCCAAACGUACUCUGUUACGUACGACUGUCCACCUGUGUUACCUCUGGACCUUAUUUUUUUCUAGACAACACCGUAGAGGUGAGUAGAUCGACAGUGUUGACACCAGGGUUAUAUCGAUCUUUUCUUUAAAAGUAUGAUUAUCAGUAAUCCUGGUCCCUGUAUUUAAUUUUGCAGUAUCGCCCACCCUUAGUAAACUCGACCCAUGCACAAGAGGCGGGGCACAGCGCUUGAUUGACAUCUAGUAUGAGCGCUGACAAUGAUUGACGAGGUCACUGCAGGUGAUCCUUAUCAAAUAGGCAGGGGAAAUUACAAAACCAUUUGUUUGACACUGACAAAGAACAUGGCUGCUGAAUCAUAGUAAAGACAUCCAUAUGUCAUAUCAUGUGAAUCUAAUUUGCUUCUGUCCUACUUAACAACUAAAGUUCGGAAUGUUUAGGUUGUGCGAGUGCUCUGAUCAGUGCUCAAGUCCGGCACAACCCUCUCCUUUGGCCCAAUUGGAAAAGGUCUCCUCCACCCCAAGAACGACCAGGUGUCUUUGACGGUUUCUGCAUAAUCAAGGAAAGGCACCGCAUUUCCAUAAUACAAAUAGUUGGGGCUGCUGAAAUAACCUACCAUGAGGCCAAAGGAAGACGCAAAUGCCAGCAAUUUGAUGAUGAAGAUGAGGGACACUGUUACAUUUGAUCUCACCAGGAUGUAAGGGAACUCCGCAUCAACAAAAAGUGCCAUUCAUGCAUCAUUUAUAAUUAUUUUGCAUCUUCUUCUUCUUUCUCUUUUGGCUUU